rnacentral:rRNA from 1 species
GAUGAACGCUGGCGGCGUGCUUAACACAUGCAAGUCGAACGAAACACCUUAUUUGAUUUUCUUCGGAACUGAAGAUUUGGUGAUUGAGUGGCGGACGGGUGAGUAACGCGUGGGUAACCUGCCCUGUACAGGGGGAUAACAGUCAGAAAUGACUGCUAAUACCGCAUAAGACCACAGCACCGCAUGGUGCAGGGGUAAAAACUCCGGUGGUACAGGAUGGACCCGCGGCGUAUUAGCUGGUUGUUGAGGUAACGGCUCACCAAGGCGACGAUCAGUAGCCGGCUUGAGAGAGUGAGCGGCCACAUUGGGACUGAGACACGGCCCAAACGCCUACGGGAGGCAGCAGUGGGGAAUAUUGCACAAUGGGGGAAACCCUGAUGCAGCGACGCCGCGUGAGUGAAGAAGUAUUUCGGUAUGUAAAGCUCUAUCAGCAGGGAAGAAAAUGACGGUACCUGACUAAGAAGCCCCGGCUAACUACGUG